rnacentral:misc_RNA from 1 species
UUUCCGUAGGUGAACCUGCGGAAGGAUCAUUAUUGAAACUUCAACCGGGGCGCCGCGGCCCUCAGCACCGCUGGAAAUGCCGUGCUGUGGGGGCCGUGCGUGCCCUCGUCCUAACAAAUCCCCUGUGAACCUUACGGGAUGGGCCGUGUUAGCGCCCGGUGCCGAUCCGCUUUAUACAAACACUUAUCAAAGAAUGAACAGAAGGCGGUCUGACCGCUGGAUAACAAACUGAAACAACUUUCAACAACGGAUCUCUUGGCUCUC